AGUGAACGCUGGCGGUAGGCCUAACACAUGCAAGUCGAACGGCAGCACAGUAAGAGCUUGCCCUUACGGGUGGCGAGUGGCGGACGGGUGAGGAAUACAUCGGAAUCUACUUUUUCGGGGGGGAUAACGUAGGGAAACUUACGCUAAUACCGCAUACGACCUACGGGUGAAAGCAGGGGAUCUUCGGACCUUGCGCGAUUGAAAGAGCCGAUGUCGGAUUAGCUAGUUGGGGGGGUAAAGGCACACCAAGGCGACGAUCCGUAGCCGGUCUGAGAGGAUGAUCAGCCACACUGGAACUGAGACACGGUCCAGACUCCUACGGGAGGCAGCAGUGGGGAAUAUUGGACAAUGGGCGCAAGCCUGAUCCAGCCAUACCGCGUGGGUGAAGAAGGCCUUCGGGUUGUAAAGCCCUUUUGUUGGGAAAGAAAAGCAGCAGGUUAAUACCUCGCUGUUCUGACGGUACCCAAAGAAUAAGCACCGGCUAACUUCGUG
rnacentral:rRNA from 1 species